rnacentral:rRNA from 1 species
UCUGGGACAAGCCCUGGAAACGGGGUCUAAUACCGGAUAAUACUGCGGACCGCAUGGUCUGUGGUUGAAAGCUCCGGCGGUGAAGGAUGAGCCCGCGGCCUAUCAGCUUGUUGGUGAGGUAGUGGCUCACCAAGGCGACGACGGGUAGCCGGCCUGAGAGGGCGACCGGCCACACUGGGACUGAGACACGGCCCAGACUCCUACGGGAGGCAGCAGUGGGGAAUAUUGCACAAUGGGCGGAAGCCUGAUGCAGCGACGCCGCGUGAGGGAUGACGGCCUUCGGGUUGUAAACCUCUUUCAGCAGGGAAGAAGCGAGAGUGACGGUACCUGCAGAAGAAGCGCCGGCUAACUACGUGCCAGCAGCCGCGGUAAUACGUAGGGCGCAAGCGUUGUCCGGAAUUAUUGGGCGUAAAGAGCUCGUAGGCGGCUUGUCGCGUCGGUUGUGAAAGCCCGGGGCUUAACCCCGGGUCUGCAGUCGAUACGGGCAGGCUAGAGUGUGGUAGGGGAGAUCGGAAUUCCUGGUGUAGCGGUGAAAUGCGCAGAUAUCAGGAGGAACACCGGUGGCGAAGGCGGAUCUCUGGGCCAUUACUGACGCUGAGGAGCGAAAGCGUGGGGAGCGAACAGGAUUAGAUACCCUGGUAGUCCACGCCGUAAACGGUGGGAACUAGGUGUUGGCGACAUUCCACGUCGUCGGUGCCGCAGCUAACGCAUUAAGUUCCCCGCCUGG